UAUGGUGACUAUAGCAUUGGGGUCCACCUCUUCCCAUUUCGAACAGAGAAGUUAAGCCCUUUAGCGCCGAUGGUACUACUAUAACAGGUGGGAGAGUAGGUCGUUGCCAGAC
rnacentral:rRNA from 1 species